CUCUCUCUCUCUCUCAUUUCUUUCGAAAUCAAAUUAUAAAACAUGGGUAGUGCUGAAACGGGAGUAGUCGUUAUCAACAGGGCAGAGAUCGAUACUCGAGCUCCUUUCCGGUCAGUUAGAGAGGCUGUUACGUUGUUCGGCGAGAAAGUUUUGGCUGGCGAGCUCUAUGCUAAUAAGCUCAAAGAGGUUCCCUUAUUUUACUUUACAUCUCCAUAUCUUUCAAGUUUCUUAAUUUUAUCAUAACUAGCUAUGGCUUCCCUUAGAUUAAUGGCUCUCCAUAUCCUAGCAUUUGCAUCCACUUUUGACGUUAAUUGCUUGUUGGCUAUUGCUUGUGACAGAAUUAAAGUUUUCUUAAGGGCUGAGUUAUGAUCUCUAAGGCUGUUGUGUUCCACUUUGCUGUUGUGUUCCAGUUUUUGGCUUUCUUUUAUCAUGUGAGGGAAUAAAGUAGAAACCUUAGACUUGGAGACUAUUCUUUGUACAUUGAGUUUUUAAAGGCUUUAAGAAUCUAUCUUUCUUGCCUUUAAUGAGGAACUUGCAUGCACACCCCUUAUAAAAUCUGUAAGAGACUACUUUGGGUGAUUAAUUAUUGACGGUUUUAAUUAAGUUUAAUGUAAUUAUUAGUUCCUUGAUUUGGAUUUGGUUGUAUUUAGAUGCACGAUGGAGCAAUGGAAAAUGGGCAGGGUUCUUCCAAGCUUGGAACAGUUACAGCAGAGCUAGAAGAGACAAAACAGAGCCUUGAAAAAGCUAAAGAAGAAAGUAUGAUGAUGGCAGAUUGUGUUUCUUCUCUUAAAGAAGAGCUCAAAAGAACAAAGCGAGAGCUCCGACAAUUAAAAGUCCGUGAAUCUGAAAUGGAGUCUGAAAUUGAAGAUGUGAAGGUUGUUGAAGAUUCAACAAAAUUUGAAGUGAAAAUGCGAUCUAGACAAGAAGAAGAAGAAGAAAGGAUUGAAUUUCAAAAGAAGAGAUAUGUGACUUUUGCAAAUCCUCCCUCCAUAGCUCAAGUCAUGAUUCCACAAGGCCCUGAAGCACUUGAGAGACACCCUUCUCUUAGAAAGAAGAAGAAGAAGAAGCCAUUGAUCCCUCUAAUUGGUGGGAUUUUCUCCAAGAAAAAAUCAAGUCAAAAACUCACUUCCCCAUGAAAAUUCCCACAUCUUUCAAGUUCCAACAUUAAUAAUCUAUGAAUAUGACCUCUAGCUCCCAAAAUUUUCUUAUUUCUUUUUGCCAGUUUCUUAUGUGAUUCUACCUAUAUUGGGCCUGGAAUAUUGAGAUGUUGUAACUUUGUAUGGUUGCUCCAUGAGAAACUAUGUAACAACUAAUAAGAUGUCUUAAAAAAUAAUUUUGGUUCCUCAUUCAACUAUCAUGGGCUCCAGCAUCCUUCACCUUUUGUCAUCUAAUGUUGGGAAAGCCCACCAAUUUGAGGCCUAAGAACUCAACAGUCAAGGCAAUGGUCCAUCUAGCUAAGUCUCUCCCCUCUUAUAACUUCAAAA
rnacentral:misc_RNA from 1 species